GACCUUGACUUUAUUUUCAUGGUUUAUUGGUCAAUUUUAAAUAUCUCAGAAUUGGUCUAUUUUUUAGAUUCGAUAAUAAAGGUAUAGUUUAACUGUAUUUAAUGUACAAAAUAAUUAUAAGGCGCGCAUGUUUUAUAAGGUUUGUUUCUCAGAUACAUUUGGUUCUUCAAUACAGCAAGAAAAUCUCGCACCCAAAGGCGCGCUUCAGCUGGCCC
rnacentral:lncRNA from 1 species